UAGCCAGACUGCCAGUGCAAACUGCGAGGAAGGUGGGGAUGACGUCAAAUCAUCACGGCCCUUACGUCCUGGGCCACACACGUGCUACAAUGGUAGGUACAGAGAGCAGCCACUUUGCAAAGAGGAGCGAAUCUAUAAAACCUAUCACAGUUCGGAUCGGGGUCUGCAACUCGACCCCGUGAAGCUGGAAUCGCUAGUAAUCGCAUAUCAGCCAUGAUGCGGUGAAUACGUUCCCGGGCCUUGUACACACCGCCCGUCAAGCCAUGGAAGCUGGGGGUACCUGAAGUCCGUCACCGUAAGGAGCGGCCUAGGGUAAGACCGGUAACUGGGGCUAAGUCGUAACAAGGUAGCCGUACCGGAAGGUGCGGCUGGAACACCUCCUUU
rnacentral:ncRNA from 1 species